CCUACGGGAGGCAGCAGUGGGGAAUAUUGCACAAUGGGGGAAACCCUGAUGCAGCGACGCCGCGUGAGUGAAGAAGGAAUUCGUUAUGUAAAGCUCUAUCAGCAGGGAAGAAAAUGACGGUACUUGUGUAAGAAGCCCUGGCUAACUACGUGCCAGCAGCCGCGGUAAUACGUAGGGGGCAAGCGUUAUCCGGAUUUACUGGGUGUAACGGGAGCGUAGACGGCUGUGCAAGUCUGGAGUGAAAGGCGGGGGCUCAACCCCCGGACUGCUCUGGAAACUGUACGGCUGGAGUGCAGGAGAGGUAAGUAGAAUUCCUGGUGUAGCGGUGAAAUGCGUAGAUAUUAGGAGGAACACCAGUGGCGAAGGCGGCUUACUGGACUGUAACUGACGUUGAGGCUCGAAAGCGUGGGGAGCAAACAGGAUUAGAUACCCCAGUAGUC
rnacentral:rRNA from 1 species